rnacentral:sRNA from 1 species
GUCGUGAGAUGUUGGGUUAAGUCCCGCAACGAGCGCAACCCUCGUUCGAUGUUGCCAGCGGGUUAUGCCGGGGACUCAUCGAAGACUGCCGGGGUCAACUCGGAGGAAGGUGGGGAUGACGUCAAGUCAUCAUGCCCCUUAUGUCCAGGGCUUCACGCGUGCUACAAUGGCCGGUACAAAGGGCUGCGAUACCGUGAGGUGGAGCGAAUCCCAAAAAGCCGGUCUCAGUUCGGAUCGGGGUCUGCAACUCGACCCCGUGAAGUCGGAGUCGCUAGUAAUCGCAGAUCAGCAACGCUGCGGUGAAUACGUUCCCGGGCCUUGUACACACCGCCCGUCACGUCACGAAAGUCGGCAACACCCGAAGCCCAUGGCCUAACCGGUUUUCCGGAGGGAGUGGUCGAAGGUGGGGCUGGCGAUUGGGACGAAGUCGUAACAAGGUAGCCGUACCGGAAGGUGCGGCUGGAUCACCUCCUUUCUAAGGAGCAUCUUCCCACCCGCCCCCUCGGGGGUGGGUUCAGGAGGGCCCCGUACCACCCGGAUGUGGUGGUGGGGUUGCUCAUGGGUGGAGACACUGGCUAGUUCGCCACGUACCUCGUGGCUUGUCGCGUCUAGUACCGCCCCCCUUGGGGGUGGGGAACGGGCGGCAGGGCGGGGUGGUGGGGUAGAGCACCCUGUUGGGCCCUGAAAGAACAAGCCACUGUGUGGCGGGUUCUUCCAGCUGGCAGUCCAUGCUGGUCAUCAAACCGGAUCUUGUUGGGCCUUGUGUGUUGGGGUUUGGGCGGGGUUUUGGUGGUGGCGGAUGGUGUGGGGUUGCGCGUUGUUUGAGAAUUGCACAGUGGACGCGAGUAUCUUUGUGGUCAAGUUGCUGAGGGCAAACGGUGGAUGCCUUGGCACCAGGAGCCGAUGAAGGACGUGGGAGGCCGCGAUAGGCCUGGGGGAGCUGUCAACCUAGCUGUGAUCCCAGGGUGU